GACGAACGCUGGCGGCGUGCUUAACACAUGCAAGUCGAACGGAAAGGCCCUGCUUUUGUGGGGUGCUCGAGUGGCGAACGGGUGAGUAACACGUGAGUAACCUGCCCUUGACUUUGGGAUAACUUCAGGAAACUGGGGCUAAUACCGGAUAGGAGCUCCUGCUGCAUGGUGGGGGUUGGAAAGUUUCGGCGGUUGGGGAUGGACUCGCGGCUUAUCAGCUUGUUGGUGGGGUAGUGGCUUACCAAGGCUUUGACGGGUAGCCGGCCUGAGAGGGUGACCGGCAAAAUUGGGACUGAGAUACGGCCCAGACUCCUACGGGAGGCAGCAGUGGGGAAUAGUGCACAAUGGGCGGAAGCCUGAUGCAGCAACGCCGCGUGCGGGAUGACGGCCGUCGGGUUGUAAACCGCUUGCGCCUGUGACGAAGCGUGAGGGACGGUAAUGGGUAAAGAAGCACCGGCUAACUACGUG
rnacentral:rRNA from 1 species